rnacentral:rRNA from 1 species
UCAUCACUACGCUAGAUGCAUAUCAAUAAGCGGAGGAAAAGAAACCAACAAGGAUUCCCUUAGUAACGGCGAGUGAAGCGGGAAGAGCUCAAAUUUGAAAUCUUCAAGGUUUUACCUUGACGAAUCGUAGUUUAAAGAAGUGUUUUCUGUUGGAGUUUUGGUAAAAGUUCUUUGGAAUAGGACAUCAUAGAGGGUGAGAAUCCCGUAUUUGACCAUUAUUUCCAACUUUGUGAUACACUUUCAAAGAGUCGGAUUGUUUGGGAAUGCAGUCCAAAAUGGGUGGUAAAUUUCAUCUAAAGCUAAAUAUUGGCGAGAGACCGAUAGCGAACAAGUACCGUGAGGGAAAGAUGAAAAGAACUUUGAAAAGAGAGUUAAACAGUACGUGAAAUUGUCAAAAGGGAAGCGUUUGACACCAGUGUUGUUUUCUCGAAAAUCAAUUAAAAAUGAUGGGAUUUUGUGUUGUAUUGACUUUAUCAGCUUUCUGCACUUUUUUCCUUAUCUUUUUUAAUGCACUUUUCGUUUAACAAGUCAACAUCAAUUUCUUUUGCUGUAAAAGAGUCAUUGGAAGGUGGCUUUCUUUUCGGAGAAAGUGUUUAUAGCCUUUGACUUCUGCAGUCGGAGAGAUUGAGGUCUGCAGCGUAGAUCCUUCGGGGUUAGAUACAUUUGUGCUAAGCUAUAGCCUUUCAUAGACAACUUGUUGACUAUGAUCAGUCAUGUAGCUUACUCGCUUAUGCUAUUUUACCUACGCUUAGGAUGUUGAUAUGCAUGACUGAUAU